AACCAGAGGGCAGACACCAUCAUCAAUUUUUGUCAUUAGAACCACAUGAGGGAUGCCUGGGGUUUACAGAUAAGUUAAAGAAAGCUGUCAGAGUGCACAGAGGAUACAGAGACACUAGUCAGAGAAGAGGUGAGAUUAAUCCUGACACACAAGGGAGAUCAGUGAUGAGUGGCAGGAUGUGGGCGGAGACAAGACAUAAAUAAAAACAAAACACAUGUAGAAACAUGAAAACAUGGAACAGAAGUGGGUUAACAAGUGUGUGUUGUGCUGUGGGCUGCUGCGCAACUCGGCUUGCAUCGCUUUGUGUAAAGGAAAGCCUUCUUUGACACGGCCAUGCAGCACAUUAAUGAUGUCAUCAGGAUGAAUUCCGUCUUCCUUAUUAUCUCCCAGACCCAUAACAUCACUGAAGACAAACGGCAAGCUCUCUCCAGCAGAUGUCCCCUCCGCUGCCCCGAAUGCAAUACUGCCCUUGUAUGCACUCAUCACUGAGUUUACAAAGCAGGACUUCCCAGCUCCGACUGGUCCAUGAAGCAGUAUUCUGAACUGCCUGAUGUCUUGGUGGUUUUCCAUAAAUUUAAGAAGAAGUUCACUGAACUCAGAUUUCAGAUUGUUUGGGCUGUUUGUGAUAAACACAUUAAGAGUUUAUCUUUCUCAUUUGAUAUUUAAAUUACACACAGAUCACUGCUACUGAAAUAAUGAUGUGACUUCUGACCAAACUAAUUUAGUUUCACAACAACAAGGAUGAUGUAUAUAAUCAAACUCUUUAUUUAAGUUUUAUAUAUUUUCGAGAAUUGUGGAAAUUUGUAAUGUUAUUUUAUUUUUUUCUAGAUACAUGGAAUAUAAAGCCUGAAUUCUGUAAAACAAAACAUUACUAAAUUGAUCACUCACUUCCAGUCAGGGUUUCUCCAAAGUUGCUCGAAGUCUGUACACAAAAAGAUAAUAGAGAACUUUGAGUAAAAACAGAAACUUUUUUUAAUUGAUUUCUUUCUUCUAUUUUUGUUUCAACAAAGUGAUCUAACCUUCUCGAGAUUCUGGUUUUGAUUUCGUUCUAAACAUUUUUGGCAGAUUUCCUCCUCUGAAGCUGAUCUUAUUUUUUAAAAUAAGACGCUCAAUAUUGUUUAACGGUUAACUGAAGCCGUUUUUCGUUUCAUCCCGUUCCCAUAUAUGGGGCACUAAAUUCUUUCCAUUAAAAUAAAAAGAGCUAUUGGUUUUUAGUGAGAAAAUAAAAGUUCUCCAUGUAUAAUCCUGCAGUUUAUUUUUUAUUAGUGUUUAAAGUCGCCAAUAGUUCCUUCAUCGCGUAAUCAUAUUUUGAUCAUGAGUGAUUCGGCUUCGCGUCACGUGUAGGAAGCACAACCAAUAAGGUGGCCGCAUUUUGGACCUACGAAUCCAAGAUGUCUGCGCCCUUGAUGUCAACAUCGAGUAGCGAAGAAGAGGAAAUUACAGUCAGACCUCAUUCUAAACUCCGUAAAAAGGAUUAUAAACAAUGCUAUAUGCAUCUCGCGUUCAUAAAGAAAGAAGAAACGAAGGAUUUUACACACACACGAUGGGAUACUGUAGUGGAAAUUUCCACUUUAGAGAUGUUCAUAAAACCUGUCCUAUGCUUCUAUAUUUCUCAUGGCUGGUAGUUAUUGUGACUAGAGAUUGCAGUUGUUUUCCUAAAACAGAUUCCAGCAGGCCUCAUUCCCCCAACUGAUAUGAGUGAGGGGGCAGUGAGCACACUUGAGAAACAGUUUCAUGAAUGGACUGAUCACAGGAAUAUCUGACAAGGUGAAAAACCUAUGCAUCACGUGAGACACUGGAAAGCUGAGCCUCAUCAUACAACAUGCUCUGCAUGCGGAAAAGCUGCUCACGCAAAGUAAGAAGGAGCAGGAAAAAAAAAAGAGAGAAGCGUGAACACACGCAGUUCAGCUGACAAUGAUGCAAGCCGUGGUGAGGUCUCAAACACAAAGAGGAAGAGCGGGAGAGAGUGGAUGUUUUAUUUGCGGAGGACAAGAUCACUGGGCAAGGGAAUUCCCUAAGAAACACGACAAUGAAAGUGCAUGACCAUCGACAUCUCAGGUUGAGGAGGUCAGUCCUGAAGGGAUGGGUGAGUCAAAAUCUUUGAUGCUAUGCAAUGAGGAAAUGCUUCAGCUAACUUCUGAUUCUGACUUAAAUGCUAAUGUUUUGAAUGCUAUUGAUUUUCUUGAAAAGAAAUAUACUCCACAAGGCACAUAUGCAAAGUACAAUUUAGAUGCCUACAAGCACAUGCCAGUGCACACAUUGAAUGUAGUGCACUGGCAUUCUGGUGCAGGAAACUCUGUGAUCAAAUUACAUGAGUUGAGUGAGUUGCCAAAAAUGAGUGGUAGAUCCCUGAAUUCAGUUGGAGCGUCUGGGAUUAUUGUGAAAGAAAAAUUUACAGCACCCUUAAGGUGUGUUGGGGAUAACCAACAGUCAUUCACAUUUUCUUUUCUGCUAUCUGAAUGCUGCCUGAUUAAUUUGAUGGGCAGGGAUUUGGUUUGCAAAUGGGGAAUAAACCUAAUUAGCCUCCAAAUGAAUUGAAAGUGUGUACAAGUCAAACAGGUGAAUUUCAAGGUGUUAAGUGGGACCCCAGACCUCUGUUGUAUGUGUAUGAGUGGGAACUCAGCACCUCUGCUGUGAAUUCAGUGAAUCAAGGUCUCAUAGAUAAGGCCCGUGAUGUUACUAACCCUACACGCACACAAUACAUGGACACACAUUAUCUGCACUGCACAGCUCACACACACAUAAGGGAAUAGAUGCACAUUAUGAACAAGAAGGUUUGAGAACCACAAACAUAGCAGAUGUGUUAUUGUUGAAGAAUAUGUAUUGGGAUAAUUACAGAUGUUCUGUAGAAGUGAGUCUUUGUAAAAUACAUGUAAGGCCAGGGAAGACACGUCCAUUCACUAUGGAAAAUUUCUGAGUCUCUAAGAUUUAGGAAAGUGGACACUAAAAUGUCUGAAAACUGGUGAUUGGAAACCCAGUUCAGAUCCCACAGUGUUGUACAGUGAGAAAACUAAAGCCUAUUGCAUGCCUUUGAAUUGGAUAGCUUUUGCUGACAGAAUAGUUGAGAUAAUGCCACAGGCAGACACAAAUAAAUCUGAAAGCAAUGUGGCAGUUACCACAUAUUUCUGUAGAUGAUCCUCAUUAAAACGUAGUUCUUAAGGAACUCUGAGAAAACAUGAUGUGGGUCUAAAUAAGAAUUGUGCACCAGUGCAAGUAAACCCCAGAUUUGAUUACAGGCCUUGUAAAUUGCGGUAACCUUAAUUUUGGUUUCUGUUAUAUAUUAAUGAAAAAUCACAUUGUGAAUCUACAACCAUUUAUAAUGAAGCUUGAAUUCCUGCGACAGCUGAUAUCAGAACAAGGUAAAAGUAUAGAAGAAAACAAGAGUUGCAGAUAUACAAAACAAUCCAAAGCCUAAAAUAAAGAAACAACUAAUGUCAUUUUAGGCAAGCGUUCUUAUUGCAGAACCUUUAUACAUAAUUAUGCAAUCCUCGAGGCUCCCUUAAGUGCAAUGGCUCAUGGGAAGGGUCUACAGGCCCACAGUGCACUUAGUAGGACAUCUGAAAUGACACCCAUAUGAGGAUGAGGUUCCCCUUUGAGUCUGGUUCCUCUCAAGGUUUCUUCCUUUACCAAUUUAAGGGAGUUUUUCCUUGCCACUGCUGCCUGAGCCUCCUCAGACUUGCUCAUUGGGGAUAAAUACAUAUACAUACAUACAUGCGUACAUACACACUGUGAACUAUAUACAUUUUGAAUUUUUAUUAUAUUAAUUCUCUAUAUUACUCCUUAUGUUUACCUUCUGCUCUAGGUUUAUGUUCUGUAAAGCUGCUUUGAGACAAUGUCCAUUGUAAAAAGCGCUAUACAAAUAAACUGAUUGAAAAAGAAAUUGAAAAUUGAAAAAGAAAUUGAAAAAGAAAAGGCCUUUGUAAGAGUUGAAACUAGCCUUACAAUCCACACCCAGAUUAGAAAAACCAGGUCAAACUAAAUUGUUCAUGCAGGUAGUAGAUCUAUAUGUGUGAAAAAAAGGGGUGUAUGACAUCAGUAUUAUGGCAAAAUCAUGAAGGAAAAAUUAAGACCAGUAGACAAUUUUUUAACUAAACUGGAUCCAGUGGCAGUGGGACUGCCUUAGUAUUUAGGGUCUGUAGGAACAGCUGAAAAAGCAAUUAAUGCUUCAAUGUACAUCAAUGACAUUGUAGAAUACAGUGAAAUUACCCUAUAUGUCUACAGCACAAAGGCUGAGAUUUCACACUAUUUUACUUGAACUGCCAAAUGUUAAAGUAAAACACUGCACUGUACUAAACUCUGCAACUCCUCUUUCACAGAAGUUGGAGAACAUCACAACCGUGUAACCGUUGUAAAUUAAAUUUGCAUGUCUAAUUUGCAGGAGACACCAUCCAGACCUUGAACUGUUUGUAAAUGGAUCAGCCUUCAGAAACUAGAAAACAGGCCGUAGCUGUUUAAGAUAUGCAGCAGUCGUAGAAUAUGUAACAGUGAAAGCUUAAUCAUUAUCAGGAAACCUCUCUGAACAAGCAGCAGAGUUAAUGUCUCUAACAGAAACAUGUAAAUUAGCACAAGGCAAAAAUGUUUCCAUUUAUACAGAUAACAGAUAUGAUUUUGGCAUGUUGUGGAAACCUAAAGGUAUCCUUACUUAUUAGGUAAAUAAAUCAGGUACAAUGGCCGGAUUUCUGAUCUCGUGAAUGCAGUUCUAUGAACAAAAUCCUUUGCUAUAUGUCAAUUUGAAGCACAUACAAAGAUUCUAUUUCACAGGGUAAUGCCAAAGCGGAUGCAGCAGCAAAAAAAUUCCUUUAUGUAUAAAGAAGCUUUGUGUAUUUUGAAAAUAUGAACUCCCACAGUUGACCUUGAGGAUCUUCAGGCAUGUUGCACAGCAGAAGAAAAUGCAGCAAGGAGAAAAGCAGGAUGUGUGGUAAGAAAUGAUGUUUGGUACAGACCCAAUGACAAACCAUGCUUGCCAAAUAAAUUGUUUCCUUACUAUAAUAAGUUGACGCAUGAGUAAGACCAUGCAUCAAAAGGAGGGAGGUACAGCAGUAUCUCUAGAUAUCGGUAAACCAAAUAUUUUGUGAGCGAUGCUGUGUUGUUAUGCAACCUUGUCCUCUAUUCGUUCACAAAUUCAUAAGCAGGUGAAGGAAACACUGCCUAAGGUGACUGGGUGGUGGUGAAGGAUUUUGGGAGGAAAAGCUGGAGAAGCAGGAAGUGGCUUGGACCAUUUCAGGUACUUCUGACCAUGCAAACGGUGGUGAACGUCGCAGAGAGAGCGACGUGGAUUGACGUUAGCCAUUGUAAACGGGUUCCCGAGCCAAAGGAAAAACCAUCAAUCGACAACUGCUAAGAGGAAGGAGAAGGGGCAUCAGGGCACACGGUGACGUGCUAGUAACCUCUCCCGUGAGCUCCAACUGACUCUCUACGAUGCGUAAAGUGUCAGAGUCAGAAGAAAACAGAAGAAACACCGGUAUGGGACCUGCUUGCCAACACUGAGAAGAAGCAGCGUCAUCUGAAGGAGUAACAUCGACACAUGCGCACACAUGUUAAUGAGAUUAAUAAACUACGUGAAAGAGGUAAAUGUGACAUUUACGAUAGUUGACAACAGCAGAAGGCUGUACAGUAUUACACCCAGAUUCUCAUACACACACACAAGAUCUGACUCCUAGAGACGAUCAACAUAGACGAGUAAAAGCUUCUGUUAAGAUGAGCUUUUUUGACUAUUACCCUAGAGUCCUAGGGAUCAUUGGCAUCCUUAUGAUCUGCCUGUUAAUAGGGGGGAAUGCAGAAAAAACUCAGAGACUCAAAGACGCAGAGACGUGUCUGAUAAUGACUUUCCUCCGCCAGAACAUAUACUAAAAGGUAAACCGAGUAAAUUCUUUGAUUCCUUCUUCCCACAGUAUGGGAUGACUUGGGUACGGAAUCAACUAGGUCACACAUUAUCGGCUUGCCACGAAUGUUAACUCCACUAAUCGGGCAACCAAAGGUACACCACAAGAACUCAAAAUAGAAUGGCCUUAGAUAUUCUAUUAGCUAAAGAGGGAGGUGUAAGUGCCAUGAUCGGAGAUCAGUGUUGUACCUUCAUUCCCUUGAAUGAUGAUGACCAUGGGUCUAUCUCUGAUGCACUGCAUGAUAUGCACAAAGUGACAAACCAAAUAAAACGAGACGGACUUCUCCAUUCGACAAUGACUAUUUCUCUGAAUUUUGCUCAGAAACAGACAAAAUGUGAAUGCGGACAGUAGAGACUGUGACUUGUAGUGAAGUUACAACAAGAUCAAUGCUUAAUGCUUUGCCUUUGCAUAUUUUUGAUAUACGGGUCCUGUCCCCACAAAAACAGCAUAUUAUCCACUGAAGAUCGUGUAUUUUAUGAAGCAUUCAUGAGAACCCUACAGGGGAAAUGAUACGCUGAUGUGAGAUUGUACAUGAUUGAGCUUAGCUUAAGGCUUACAUGAUUGUACUCUAGCUGAUUAAUUGAUUAACAAUGUUGUGUAUUAAGUAGUUGUUUAACAAUACUGGUAUCUAUCAUUUAGAGUUUAGUUUUUGUUACAGAUUAAUGAUUAGUAAAAAUUUUGUGUAUUGUCCCAGGGACAAAAGGGGGGAAUAGUGGAAAUUUUCACUUUAGAGAUGUUCAUAAAAGCCUGUCCUUCUAUCCUUCUAUAUUUCUCAUGGCUGGUAGUUAUUGUGACUAGAGAUUGCAGUUGUUUUCCUAAAACAGCUUCCAGCAGAUCGUCCCCGUGGGACCUUGUUACAGUAGGUACAGAUUAGCUUGGUCAGAAGAUGAGCAGGCUUCUAAGUUUUCUUUGAGAUUUUUAAACUAUGCAAGAUAGCUGUUUCAAUCCCUGUUAGUACUGCUUCUUGUGAACAGAGUUUUUCUGCACUAAAGCUGGUGAAAUCUCAGGUCCACAAUGUCAGAUGGCAGAUUAAGCAAUUUAGGUGUGCUGAGUAUUGAGUCAAGGAGGGCAAAGGCCUUAAAUUUAGAUGAAUUUGCUAAUCUUUUUGCAAAAAAAAACACAAAAACCGUAGGAUACAGUUACUGUGACUGAUACUGUAUAUGUUAUGCAAAUGUAAAAAUAUAAUUAAAAUGCAAAUAGUUACUGUGACUGAUACUGAAAAUGUAAUGCAAAUGUAAAAAAUAAAAUGUUGUUGAAUGAUUAGAAACAUGGUAUUUUAAUGCUUGCAGUGAUACAACAAUAAGGGCUUAAUGUAACUUUCCCCUCUAACAGUACAACUGGCCCCAGCUUCCCAGACCAGUCUGUGUCAUCGAGUAGUAGUACCUCAACAACUGAAUGUCCUAAAAAGAAACUUAGGUCCAUGACAGGUGCCAAUAGCUAGUGCAGGUCCUGUGCUUCCUGCCUUGUGCUUAAUUUGUAAGAAAACGGUUAAGUACAUUACUGUGGCAGGCAAACAACAGAAGGCCCAUCUUUCACAGGCAGAAAUGUUGUGUGCAGGUGGGCACAAACACACACACACACACACACACGUUUUAACUUUAAAGUUUUAUGCUAUAUGCUGGAUACCAUGGCUAAAUUUAGAUUACAAUUACAUAACAAUUACUGUGACUGAUACUGAAAAUGUAAUGCAAAUGUAAAAAAUAAAAUGUUGUUGAAUGAUUAUAAA